ensembl:lncRNA
GUUUUUUUUGUUUUUUUGUUUGUUUGUUUGUUUGUUUGUUUGUUUGCUUGUUUAAAGAUCACCAGUACCUGUUUGAGUUUUUUGUUUGUUUGUUUGUUUGUUUGUUUGUUUGUUUGUUUGUUUAAAGAUCACCUGUACCUGUUUGAGUUUUUGUUGUUUGUUUGUUUGUUUAAAGAUCACCUGUACCUGUUUGAGUUUUUGUUGUUUGUUUGUUUGUUUAAAGAUCACCUGUACCUGUUUGAGUUUUUGUUGUUUGUUUGUUUGUUUAAAGAUCACCUGUACCUGUUUGAGUGUUUGUUUGUUUUUUUGUUUGUUUGUUUGUUUGUUUGUUUGCUUGUUUAAAGAUCACCAGUACCUGUUUGAGUUUUUUGUUUGUUUGAUUGUUUGUUUGUUUAAAGAUCACCUGUACCUGUUUGAGUUUUUGUUGUUUGUUUGUUUGUUUAAAGAUCACCUGUACCUGUUUGAGUGUUUGUUUGUUUGUUUGUUUGUUUGUUUGUUUGUUUGUUUAAAGAUCACUUGUACUUGUUUGAGUUUUUUGUUUGUUUGUUUGUUUGUUUGUUUGUUUGUUUGUUUAAAGAUCACCAGUACCUGUUUGAGUUUUUUGUUUGUUUGAUUGUUUGUUUGUUUAAAGAUCACCUGUACCUGUUUGAGUUUUUGUUGUUUGUUUGUUUGUUUAAAGAUCACCUGUACCUGUUUGAGUUUUUUUGUUUGUUUGUUUGUUUGUUUGUUUGUUUGUUUGUUUGUUUAAAGAUCACCAGUACCCGUUUGAGUUUUUGUUUGUUUGUUUAUUUGUUUGUUUAAAGAUCACCAAUACCCGU